rnacentral:rRNA from 1 species
GGGGGGGGGGGGGGGGGGGGGGGGGAGGGGGGAGGCGGGCGGCAGCACAGUAAGAGCUUGCGCUUACGGGUGGCGAGUGGCGGACGGGUGAGGAAUACAUCGGAAUCUACUUUUUCGUGGGGGAUAACGUAGGGAAACUUACGCUAAUACCGCAUACGACCUACGGGUGAAAGCAGGGGAUCUUCGGACCUUGCGCGAUUGAAUGAGCCGAUGUCGGAUUAGCUAGUUGGCGGGGUAAAGGCCCACCAAGGCGACGAUCCGUAGCUGGUCUGAGAGGAUGAUCAGCCACACUGGAACUGAGACACGGUCCAGACUCCUACGGGAGGCAGCAGUGGGGAAUAUUGGACAAUGGGCGCAAGCCUGAUCCAGCCAUACCGCGUGGGUGAAGAAGGCCUUCGGGUUGUAAAGCCCCUUUGUUGGGAAAGAAAAGCAGCAGGUUAAUACCCCGCUGUUCUGACGGUACCCAAAGAAUAAGCACCGGCUAACUUCGUG